AUGAACUGGCCUAUUGGGCUUCCUUCAAAGCAGCUCGGGCCUCUCGGACUCUCUGAUGAUAUGUGGGCCGGCUCAUACCCGAUCGAGCGGCAGCAAUACAGUAGGGUCGGGUCGGGUCGAUCCAACCGGCCUUGGUUGGUCCCUGGAGCAAUGGCCGGCGGCGGUUCUUCUUCUUCUUCUUCCACGGCGGGAGAGGAGGGGAGGGCGAGCGCGCGGCUGCGGAAGAAGCAGAAACUGCAUCAACAGGAGGAGGAAGAGAAGGGGGCGAACCCUCUGGACCCAAGGUUCAGCGACUACGACCCCAAGGAGGGCGAACACAUCUUCACCCGCUUCCAACACUCCAGCCUCGACCUCCACAUGGAAUCACCUGUUGGUGCAAUGCACAAUACUAAUAGGAUCUUCCCAGAGGAGGGGUUCCUGUUCUGUAACUCGGCAAAUAUUGUCUCGGUCAAUAUCGUUUCCUCCGACUAUGGAUACCCGCUCAAUGUCUACGGCACCAUCAUAGCCAGGGACAGUCUGGAUCGCCAACGCGUCUAUUUAUUCCAGCGUGGCAAGGACGAUUGCCAGAACAUCAGCUCCAAGAAUGAUGCGUUGGUUUUGACUGGCCCGAAGAGAGGACUGAUGAUAUGUGAUUCAAUAAUCUUCGAAGUUGAUCUGAAGGUCAAGGAUGUGAAUGGCAGAAAGGUGAAUGACAAGAGAGUUAGCAAAGGCUUAAUGGAGAUUAAUGGCAUCAAAAGACUCUCAUAUCCACCGAAAUACCAGGUUCAAACCGAAGAGCUUGUCAGCAUGCACAGCACAUUGGAUUUGAACUACACGUUUGUAAGGAAUGCGGUGGAGGGCACCGUUGAGGCGAGGAUCCUCGAGGGACCUGUUGAUUUCCAUGGGAAAAUCGUCGCUCGCACUAGUAGCUUUCCAUGUGACAUUAUGCUACAUGAUAGCGAACUUGCUGGGAUGCUAACAGCCGGUGACGGUGGAAUCCUGCAAACAGCACGCCGUGUCGUCAGCGUCUCCGUUGAUGAGACACUCCUGUUGACCAUUGCUGCUGCUACCAGUGGUGUCCGCACCGUUGAGUUUACUCCAAAACGUGGCAGCUACGAUGAAGAGAAAAUCACUUGUGGCGACUAUAAGAUGCUGGUGAAGGUCACUUGGUCCAUUGUGUGCUGGUGA
rnacentral:rRNA from 1 species